rnacentral:rRNA from 1 species
GAUGAACGCUGGCGGCGUGCUUAACACAUGCAAGUCGAACGGUGAAGCAGGAGCUUGCUCUUGUGGAUCAGUGGCGAACGGGUGAGUAACACGUGAGCAACCUGCCCCUGACUCUGGGAUAAGCGCUGGAAACGGCGUCUAAUACUGGAUAUGUGAUGUGACCGCAUGGUCUGCAUCUGGAAAGAAUUUCGGUCGGGGAUGGGCUCACGGCCUAUCAGCUUGUUGGUGGGGUAAUGGCUCACCAAGGCGUCGACGGGUAGCCGGCCUGAGAGGGUGACCGGCCACACUGGGACUGAGACACGGCCCAGACUCCUACGGGAGGCAGCAGUGGGGAAUAUUGCACAAUGGGCGGAAGCCUGAUGCAGCAACGCCGCGUGAGGGAUGACGGCCUUCGGGUUGUAAACCUCUUUUAGCAGGGAAGAAGCGAAAGUGACGGUACCUGCAGAAAAAGCACCGGCUAACUACGUGCCAGCCGCCGCCGUAA